rnacentral:rRNA from 1 species
GACGAACGCUGGCGGCGUGCUUAACACAUGCAAGUCGUACGGUAAGGCCCUUUCGGUGGUUCACGAGUGUCGAACGGGUGAGUAACACGUGAGUAACCUGCCCACAACUUUGGGAUAACGCUAGUAAACUGGUGCUAAUACUGGAUAUGUGCUCCUUCUUCAUGGUGGUGGUUGGAAAGCUCCCGCGGUUGUUGAUGUACUCGCUGCCUAUCAGCGUGAUGGAGGGGUUGGUGCGUACCAAGGCGGCGACGGGAAGCCGGCCUGAGUGGGUGACCGGCCACACUGGGACUGGGAUACGGCCCAGACUACUAAGGGAGGCAGAAGGGGGGAAAAUUGGACAAAGGGAGCAAGCGUGAUGCAGCAACGCCGCGGGCGGGAUGACGGCUUUCGGGUUGGAAAACGCUUUCAGCAGGGACGAAGCUUUUUGUGACGGUAACUGAAGAAGAAGCACCGGCUAACUACGUG